AAGAAAGAGAGAGAGAGAGAGAGAGAACAGAACCAUACUAUCUGCAUAAGAAUUUGGCAGGAUGGAUGUCCAAUUCAUCCUCUGUUUCAUCGUCACUGUAUGGCACCUCUUCAUCGUUGGGUUGGGAGGAAUCCUCAUCAAAAGUGGUUUCCGAAUCUCUUUCUGAAUUCAUCCUAAUAGCAGCUCCUGAACAGACAUGAAGAGAGGCAGGCUAACUCCAACAGGCCUCCCUGGAAGAAGAUUACCCAUCCA